AAGUUUAACGGCAGCACGGGAGCAAUCCUGGUGGCGAGUGGCGAACGGGUGAGUAAUAUAUCGGAACGUGCCCAGUAGUGGGGGAUAACUGCUCGAAAGAGCAGCUAAUACCGCGUACGACCUGAGGGUGAAAGGGGGGGAUCGCAAGACCUCUCGCUAUUGGAGCGGCCGAUAUCAGAUUAGCUAGUUGGUGGGGUAAAGGCCUACCAAGGCAACGAUCUGUAGUUGGUCUGAGAGGACGACCAGCCACACUGGGACUGAGACACGGCCCAGACUCCUACGGGAGGCAGCAGUGGGGAAUUUUGGACAAUGGGCGCAAGCCUGAUCCAGCAAUGCCGCGUGCAGGAAGAAGGCCUUCGGGUUGUAAACUGCUUUUGUCAGGGAAGAAAUCCUCUAGGUUAAUACCCUUGGGGGGAUGACGGUACCUGAAGAAUAAGCACCGGCUAACUACGUGCCAGCAGCCGCGGUAAUACGUAGGGUGCAANGCGUUAAUCGGAAUUACUGGGCGUAAAGCGUGCGCAGGCGGCUUUGCAAGACAGAUGUGAAAUCCCCGGGCUCAACCUGGGAACUGCAUUUGUGACUGCAAGGCUACAAUACGGUAGAGGGGGGAUGGAAUUCCCCGUGUAGCAAUUGAAAUGCGUAUAUAUGCGGAGGAACACCAAUGGUGAAGGCAAUCCCUGGACCUUGUACUGACGCUCAUGCACGAAAGCGUGGGGGAGCAAAACAGGAUUA
rnacentral:rRNA from 1 species